GAAAAGCUAUCGAUUGAAGGAUUCUUCCCGAAACUAAGUAUUUUCUUUACCGGAUAUGGCCAAGAUCCUCUGCCAGAUGGUCUCAUAUUUGAAGGCGUCAAAGACGAACCCGUGAAAAUGUCACCUGCCAAUGCUGGUCAAACUCCGAUAUUCAAAUCCCUGGAUGCCCUGUGUGGGAUACAGCAUCAGAAAGAUCGACACGAGUAUACUGAGACGGUGUUCCAAUACAUGUAUCCCAGCCACAGGAAGUUCAUUGCCGACCUCCGUCAGAGACCAGUUCAGCUAAGAU